GCAAAGUACCAUGCGCCGUCUUGACAUUGAGUUUCUCCUCUCAUACAGCAAGCUCAAACUGACCAGCCCUGAAGCUUAGGCUGGUUUUU
rnacentral:ncRNA from 1 species